GAUAUUGCGACAUCAAAAUGGAUUAUCAAAAAUAAACUAAUAAGCAAGUCCUACCGCUCAGUUUGUUAAGAAAUUCAAACCAUACACAUCAAUUUCUAACAACUGUCUACAACUCUGAGUUCAUUUGGCCUAGAUCCUAAGUUUAGAGAUUAGAGGGACUCUUGGCUCAAGUAGGUCUACUUUAACGCCGUAAAAAAGAGCAGACGACGACCUUUCAAAGAUGGAGGACAGCAGCCAUCAAUAUGAAGUAGAAGAGGUACCAGAAAGCCACAGUUAUUUGGUCACCUAUCUAAACCAGACACCAUCAAGAGUGGCGCUGUUUAUUUUUGACGAGAAGGUCAAAGAGGCCAGAAGCAGAAUCUGUGAGGAGUAUUUGUGGACGGAGAUAGGUCAGGAGAAGCUGAAGAUGAUCAUCGUUGACGAUACGAUAGAGAAGGAGAUGGGAGAUGAAAAAGUCGUUGGAGAUUAUAUCAAGGAGCCGAUGAGAGGAUACAAGUUUAAAAUAGAGGAACGGCUAGCUUGAGAAAUAAAUGUUCGGUUAGGUUUUGCUGUAAUAAGUUUUUAGAAUAAUGUAUGUGUAUGUAUGCGAAGAGGUUAGCGGAUACGUGUAUGU